CGGCUUAGAGUUUGAUCAUGGCUCAGGAUGAACGCUGGCGGCGUGCCUAACACAUGCAAGUCGAGCGAAGCACUUUACUUUGAUUCUUCGGAUGAAGAGUUUUGUGACUGAGCGGCGGACGGGUGAGUAACGCGUGGGUAACCUGCCUCAUACAGGGGGAUAACAGUUAGAAAUGACUGCUAAUACCGCAUAAGACCACAGCAUCGCAUGGUGCAGGGGUAAAAACUCCGGUGGUAUGAGAUGGACCCGCGUCUGAUUAGCUAGUUGGUAAGGUAACGGCUUACCAAGGCGACGAUCAGUAGCCGACCUGAGAGGGUGACCGGCCACAUUGGGACUGAGACACGGCCCAAACUCCUACGGGAGGCAGCAGUGGGGAAUAUUGCACAAUGGGGGAAACCCUGAUGCAGCGACGCCGCGUGAGCGAAGAAGUAUUUCGGUAUGUAAAGCUCUAUCAGCAGGGAAGAAACUGACGGUACCUGACUAAGAAGCACCGGCUAAAUACGUGCCAGCAGCCGCGGUAAUACGUAUGGUGCAAGCGUUAUCCGGAUUUACUGGGUGUAAAGGGAGCGUAGACGGAUAGGCAAGUCUGGAGUGAAAGCCCGGGGCUCAACCCCGGGACUGCUUUGGAAACUGUUUAUCUAGAGUGCUGGAGAGGUAAGUG
rnacentral:rRNA from 1 species